rnacentral:rRNA from 1 species
UACGGAGGGUGCAAGCGUUAUCCGGAUUCACUGGGUUUAAAGGGUGCGUAGGAGGGCAGGUAAGUCAGUGGUGAAAUCUCCGGGCUUAACUCGGAAACUGCCAUUGAUACUAUCUGUCUUGAAUACCGUGGAGGUCAGCGGAAUAUGUCAUGUAGCGGUGAAAUGCUUAGAUAUGACAUAGAACACCAAUUGCGAAGGCAGCUGGCUACACGAAUAUUGACACUGAUGCACGAAAGCGUGGGGAUCAAACAGG